rnacentral:rRNA from 1 species
UCGGACGCGAAAGCUCCUUCGGGAGUGAGUAGAGUGGCGCACGGGUGAGUAACGCGUAGGUAAUCUACCUCUGGAUUGGGGAUAACUCUGCGAAAGCGGAGCUAAUACCGAAUGGUCUGGCUUUAUUUUGAUGAAGUCGGUAAAGGAUGCCUCUGCAUAUGCAUCUGUCCGGAGAUGAGCCUGCGUCCCAUUAGCUAGUUGGUAGGGUAAAGGCCUACCAAGGCGACGAUGGGUAGCUGGUCUGAGAGGAUGAUCAGCCACACUGGAACUGGAACACGGUCCAGACUCCUACGGGAGGCAGCAGUGGGGAAUAUUGGGCAAUGGGCGCAAGCCUGACCCAGCAACGCCGUGUGAGGGAUGAAGGCCUUCGGGUCGUAAACCUCUGUCAGAAGGGAAGAACGGGCACAGUUCGAAUAGGGCUGUGUUUUGACGGUACCUUCAGAGGAAGCACCGGCUAACUCCGUGCCAGCAGCCGCGGUAAUACGGAGGGUGCGAGCGUUAUUCGGAAUCACUGGGCGUAAAGGGCGCGUAGGCGGCCUGGUAAGUCAGGGGUGAAAUCCCACGGCUCAACCGUGGAAUUGCCUUUGAAACUGCUGGGCUUGGAUCCUGGAGAGGGUGGCGGAAUUCCUGGUGUAGGAGUGAAAUCCGUAGAUAUCAGGAGGAACACCGGUGGCGAAGGCGGCCGCCUGGACAGGUAUCGACGCUGAGGCGCGAAAGUGUGGGGAGCAAACAGGAUUAGAUACCCUGGUAGUCCACACCGUAAACGAUGGAUACUAGGUGUUGGGGGCAUGACCCUCAGUGCCGGAGCUAACGCGUUAAGUAUCCCGCCUGGGGAGUA